AAACUUGCAAUUUCCACUAUGAAUAUGUAUAAUGUGUCUGCUGCGCAAGCAGAGAUGAUUCUGAAUUCGUUGCGGAAUAAUCGUUUUGGACUGGGGGGCGGUACCCCACAGCUCCACCAAUUUUUCACGGGGCUGACAUAGUUUCGACAGGCGAAAUAAAGGCAAAUCGAUUGAAUCCGGGUUGCACCGUUAUAUGCAAAAUAAAAACUGAAUGGCGAUAGAAUCGCUGCGAACAGCAAUGUUCGCCUUGCAAUGGCUGCCUAAUGAAUGGCUGUGAAAUAUGUCGGCGAUUGUCGGUAUAUUUCGUUUAAGUUAUUGCGGGGUUUGUCGGGUACCUUGAACCAGAAACCCGACAUU
rnacentral:tmRNA from 1 species